GUUUUUAUAGCUUAAAUUUUAAAAGCAUGGCUCUGAAAAGGCCAGGAUGAUAUUAUAUCUAAAAGCA
rnacentral:tRNA from 1 species